rnacentral:lncRNA from 11 species
CAAUUUGUGGCCCUCUGGAUGUUACAGGAUCGGAGUUCACAACAUCCCUCAAGGCUGAGUUGGCGGGGAAUCUAUGCGGGAAAACAGGAAGAUCCAAGUUCAGGUUCUUCAAAGCGACAUGGACCCUUGGAUUAGGAGAACAACCCUGUGGCUGUUUGGGCACUCUCCCUGGUGACCAUGGACUGUUAAGCCUUUCCUGUCUUGAGCAAAUAUAUACUGAGCAACUGGUCAUGGCUUUGAACUUUCAGC